ACGAUGACUCUCGGCAACGGAUAUCUCGGCUCCUGCAUCGAUGAAGAACGUAGCGAAAUGCGAUACCUGGUGUGAAUUGCAGAAUCCCGUGAACCAUCGAGUCUUUGAACGCAAGUUGCGCCCGAGGCCACCCGGUCGAGGGCACGCCUGCCUGGGCGUCACGC
rnacentral:rRNA from 2 species